rnacentral:lncRNA from 1 species
UCGGUUGUUUCCAAUUAGAUAGUCACCUCUCAUCUGGCAUAGAUCAUAUAUGCAUUUACGUUUUGUUUGUAGGAAAAUGACUUGCAUGUUGAUGCCAAAGGCAAUUCAGGUCUUUGUCCGCUUUGCUCAUGAUCUACGUAUUCGAAGGCUAUACAAAAUUGAGAUGCCGUGAGCUCUGCCUGUCACUCCUGACAACUGUGAAUUCUUCAUCUCAAGUCUAUAAUUUCUUGUGCUUUGGUCCGUUUUGGCUGCUUUUUAUGGUGUGCUUCAGAACUGCAGCUAGGAGUUUGGCGAAAAUGACCUCCCUCUCGGGUAGGGUUUAGAUAUUUGUGGUUUGGUUUUCUUAAUUGGAUUUUUUUCUUUCUGUUUGAUUUAUCUUGUUGCAAUUGAACCUAAUUUCUGCAGGCUUGAUGUAACCUCUUUUGAAUUAUUUGCCCAGAUGAGUCCAGUAAUGCAAAUUAAAUUUCUUUGCGGGUUCAAAGGGUACGCAUUUACGUUUCAAAAGCCAUAACCAUUUUCCAUCAAACACUUGUUUUGCCUUUUCUGGUUUGAAACUAGACACUUGUCGUCUCGUCGGCAUUACCAUUACUAAGUUUGUCGUUUCUGCAAUUGUUGGACUCUUAUGGAACUCUUUGCUCUUGCAUUCUUAAAAUCUUACAAGCACUGUUGAGGCAAAUUUAACAAGAAUGACCGUAGACAUUGAAAUGAAGGACAUUUUGCAUUUAUCUUAUAAUCUUAUUGUUAACAAAAGACUCGAACAAGUAAAAAAAGAAACAAAAGGAACACAUUACACAAUAGACAACGAAGACCCCAUCUCUUAGGCCGACAAUUUUAUUGACAAAUUACACCAAAUGCUGAGCCUAUUGCUAGCCUCUACUUCUCUCUACUGCUGGACCACCUGCUGCAUCUGCUGCUUGUUAUGCUGUAUUGUCGGAAGAUUCACAAGAGAGCACGAUCGUGCCAUCUCUCCUCCUAGAGGGAUCACAGGGAGACUAUCACAGUUGCAUAUUUCAAUCAUGAAUCCAUCUGGAUCAUGAAAGAAAAGUUGAUCCACAUGGAUUCCACCUUCCUCCACCAUGCUUCGCACGUACUUGAUUCCCAUGUCCUUCAGCUUCUUCUCCACUGCCCCCAUGCUCUCACACUGCAGCAUACAAUAUUUAAUAAGUUUGACAGCUAAUGAU